UUAAAAAAAUUAAUUAAAAAAAUACAUAGUGUAUUGAUUUAGGUUAUUAUAUACUAUUUUCUUUUAAUCUCAUGCACAAUAAUACAAAAUACUUAUAAUCAAAUCAACAAAAUGUACUGUUUAUAACUCAAAGAUUAUUUAUUUUAAAUAAAAAAUAUAACAAAUCUUGAUGUAUUGAUUUAAAACAGAAAUAUGAGUUUAUUUCUUUUUUCCAAAAAGUCAUGUAAUAAUGUACAAUAAGUGAUUUCAACAAAAUAAUAAUAAGAAAUAACCACAACCCAUCAAA
rnacentral:lncRNA from 1 species